UUCCGGUGGAUCCUGCGGGACCUGACUGCUAUCGGAUUGGUACUAAGCCAUGCGAGUCGUUGUAGCAAUACAAGGCGGACGGCUCAGUAACACGUAGUCAACCUAACCUAUGGACGUGGAUAACCUCGGGAAACUGAGAAUAAACCGCGAUAGAUCAUUAUGCCUGGAAUGGCUUAUGGUUCAAACAAUUUAUUGCCGUAGGAUGGGACUGCGGCCUAUCAGCUUGUUGGUGAGGUAAUGGCCCACCAAGGCUAUAACAGGUACGGGCUCUGAGAGGAGAAGCCCGGAGAUGGGUACUGAGACACGGACCCAGGCCCUAUGGGGCGCAGCAGGCGAGAAACCUUAGCAAUGUGCGAAAGCACGACUAGGUUAAUCCGAGUGAUUUCUGUUGAAGAAAUCUUUUGUCAGUCGUAAAACCACAGACGAAUAAGGGGUGGGCAAGUCUGGUGUCAGCCGCCGCGGUAAUACCAGCACCUCGAGUGGUCAGGAGGUUUAUUGGGCCUAAAGCAUCCGUAGCCGGCUACGCAAGUCUCCGGUUAAAUCCAGCUGCUCAACAGAUGGGCUGCCGGAGAUACUACAUAGCUAGGGAGCGGGAGAGGUAGACGGUAUUCUGUGGGUAGGGGUAAAAUCCACUGAUCCAUAGAGGACCACCAGUGGCGAAGGCGGUCUACCAGAACGCGUUCGACGGUGAGGGAUGAAAGCUGGGGGAGCAAACCGGAUUAGAUACCCGGGUAGUCCCAGCUGUAAACGAUGCAAACUCGGUGAUGCAUUGGCUUAUGGCCAAUGCAGUGCCGCAGGGAAGCCGUUAAGUUUGCCGCCUGGGAAGUACGGACGCAAGUCUGAAACUUAAAGGGAUUGGCGGGGGAGCC
rnacentral:rRNA from 1 species